GAUGAAGAACGUAGCGAAAUGCGAUAAGUAAUGUGAAUUGCAGAAUUCAGUGAAUCAUCGAAUCUUUGAACGCACCUUGCGCUCCUUGGUAUUCCUUGGAGCAUGCCUGUUUGAGUAUCAUGAAAUUCUCAAAGUAAAUCUUUUUGUUAAUUCAAUUAGGUUCACUUUGGAUUUGGAGGUUUUUUGCAGCUUCACACCUGCUCCUCUUUGUGCAUUAGCUGGAUCUCAGUGUUAUGCUUGGUUCCACUCGGCGUGAUAAGUUAUCUAUCGCUGAGGAAAAUUUUUUUUUGUUUUUUUUCUAAAAAUAAAUAAAUAACUAAGUGGCCAAGGGAAAUGCAGAUGAACCGCUUCCAAUAGUCCAUUAGCUUGGACAAAUAUAUUUUUAUGAUCUGAUCUCAAAUCAGGUAGGACUACCCGCUGAACUUAAGCAUAUCAAUAAGCGGAGGA
rnacentral:misc_RNA from 1 species